rnacentral:rRNA from 1 species
UACGAAGGGGGCUAGCGUUGCUCGGAAUCACUGGGCGUAAAGGGCGCGUAGGCGGCCAUUCAAGUCAGAGGUGAAAGCCCAAGGCUCAACCUUGGAACUGCCUUUGAUACUGUUUGGCUUGAGACCGGUAGAGGUAAGUGGAACUGCGAGUGUAGAGGUGAAAUUCGUAGAUAUUCGCAAGAACACCAGUGGCGAAGGCGGCUUACUGGACCGGUUCUGACGCUGAGGCGCGAAAGCGUGGGGAGCAAAGCAGG